CCUUUUUCGGGCUCUACCUCUCUACCCUUUGUGACUAUUAUACCUGUUGCUUCGGCGGCGCCCGCGAGGGUGCCCGCCGGUCUCAUCAGAAUCUCUGUUUUCGAACCCGACGAUACUUCUGAGUGUUCUUAGCGAACUGUCAAAACUUUUAACAACGGAUCUCUUGGCUCCAGCAUCGAUGAAGAACGCAGCGAAACGCGAUAUGUAAUGUGAAUUGCAGAAUUCAGUGAAUCAUCGAAUCUUUGAACGCACAUGGCGCCUUCCAGUAUCCUGGGAGGCAUGCCUGUCCGAGCGUCGUUUCAACCCUCGAGCCCCCGUGGCCCGGCGUUGGGGAUCUGCCACGGCAGGCCCCUAAAACCAGUGGCGGACCCGAAGGCCCUCUCCUUUGCGCAGUAGCAUCAGCCUCGCAUUGGGAUCCCUCGGCGUCCUGCCUCUAAACCCCCCACAAGUCCGCUCCGGCGGCACCAAGGUUGACCUCGGAUCAGGUAGGAAUACCCGCUGAACUUAAGCAUAUCAAAGUCGGAAAGGAAACU
rnacentral:rRNA from 1 species